UAGCUCAGUUGGGAGAGCGUUAGACUGAAGAUCUAAAGGUCCCUGGUUCAAUCCCGGGUUUCGGCAGCGCUUCCGUUUUAGGCGUUAGUCAUCACUACAUGUGAUUUCUGCAGUUAACAGGGUCUUUCUGCAGUUAACAGGGUCAACACCCUGUGGGUUCUCACGCGGGCUGGGGCAGUUAAGGGAAACCUUAUCGUCAUUUUCCCCUGGGAGGGAGGAUACUGGGGACAUAUGUCUUACCUUUUAAACUGCCCAGUACGAAGUUACGCCUCUGCCCUCACUUGGGACCUGGUUUGAGACAAGCUCUUCCGGAGCACUGCGCAUAGCUCACUUUCUUGAGCAACCCUGUGUCCCCGCACCCCGCUCCUCUUCUUUCGGGUUCUAGGCAGCCGUGGGCGCUGCGACCCUUCUCUCACUGUCAGAGGGGCGGGAGCUCUCGGCCUGCGCCGCCUCCGCUGCCUGCUUGGUCGCGGGCUUGCCGGGAAUGGUGACAGCCCGGGCCCCCUCUUGGCCAAAGAAGUCCUCGAAAGCGUUCGGCGCACGGGCUUUGUCCAGCUUUUUAAACCGUAACAAGGACCGGGGCCGGGCGCGGUGGCUCACGCCUGUAAUCCCAGCAUUUUGGGAAGUCGAGGCGGACGGAUUACUUGAGGUCAUGAGUUCGAGACCAGCCUGGCCAACACGAAAAACAAUAACAAGGACCCUAGAACAGCUCUUAGGUGGGGCGGGAGACAGAGAUCGGAAGCCCUUUCUAGUUUAAAUCUACACUAGGGUUAGAAGACCAAAUACAGGACGUCCAAUUAAUUUCCUUUUUUUUCUUUUUCCUUUUCUUUUCUUUUUUCUUUUUUUAAGAUGGAGUCUUGCUCCCAUGCUGGAGUGCAGUGGCGUGAUCUCGGCUGACUGUAACCUCCGCCUCCCGGGUUCAAGUGAUUCUCCUGCCUCAGCCUCCGGAGUAGCUGGGAUUACAGCCGAACUCCUGACCUCAGGUCAUCCUCCUGCCUCAGCCUCCCAAAGUGUUGGGAUUACAGGCACGAGCCACUGAACCCGGCCAAAAUUUGAAUUUCAGAGAAACAACAAAUACUUUUUAGUAUAAACAUGUCCCAAAUAUUGCAUGGAAUAUACAAAGUACAUAUUUGUUGUUUCUGUGAAAUUGGAUUUAACUGGACACCCUGUAUUUUUAUUUUCCAAAUUGCAAGUCACUUGUACAUCAUAUCCUUGCACCCCUCUGAACCCUAUGCACCACCUUCCCCACCCCAGCAAAGAUAUCCAGACGCUGUAUGCAGGAAGAACUGAAUUUCAGAGGACACCGUUUGAUCUUCAACACCUGGCAGUUUACAAAACAGAGACGGGGUGUCGCCAUGUUGCCCAGGCUGGUCUCGAACUCUGGAGCUCAAGCGAUCUGCCUGCCUCGGCCUUUCAAAGUGCUGAGACUACAGGUAUGAGUCACAGCCCCUGGCAAUGAAGGUAUUUUUUACAUGUGAUUAACGUUUAAAUCAGUAGACUCCAGGUAAAGAAGAUCACCCUUUAUAAUGUGCCUCAUUAAAUCAGCUGAAGCCUUUAAGAGCAAAGACUGGAGUUUCUGAAGAAGAAGGAAUUCUCCUAAAAACUUUGCUAUAGGCCAGGCGCGGUGGCUUACGCCUGUAAUCCCAGCAUUUUGGGAGGCCGAGACGGGCAGAUCACCUGAGGUCAGGAGUUGCAGACCAGCCUGGCCAACAUGGUGAAACCCCAUCUCUGUUAAAAAUACAAAAAUUAGCCAGGCAUGGUGGCGCAUGCCUGUAAUCCUAGCUACUUGGGAGGCUGAGACAGGAGAAUUGCUUGAACCUGGGAGGCGGAGGUUGCAGUGAGCCAAGAUUGAGCCACUCCACUCCAGCCUGGACAACAGAGCAAGACUCCAUCUCAAACAAAAACAAACAAACAAAAAAAACUUUGGUAUAGAAAACCUGCCUUCCUGAGUCUCCAGCUUACUGCCCUGCUGAAUUUAUUUAUUUAUUUAUUUAUUUAUUUAUUUAUUUAUUUAAUUUUUUGAGAGGGAGUCCUGGUCUGUCACCCAGACUGGAGUGCAGUGGCGCCAUCUGGGCUCACUGCAACCUCUGCCUCCUGGGUUCCAGAGAUUCUCCUGCCUCAGCCUCCCAAGUAGCUUGACUACAGGUGUGCACCACCACGCCUGGCUAAUUUUUGUAUUUUUAGUAGAGACGGGGUUUUACCGUGUUGGCCAGGCUGGUCUGGAACUCCUGACCUCAGGUCAUCCACCCGCCUCAGUCUCCCAAAGUGUUGGGAUUACAGGCAUGAACCACAGCACCUGGCCUGCCCUGCUGAAUUUAAACUCAAGAUGGCAACCUUAACUCUUAUCUGAAUUUUCAAACCGUUAGUCUGCCCUACAGGUUUUGGGUUUGCUGACCCCCACAAUGUGUGAACCGAGCUCUUAAAAUAAUCUUUCUCUACCUCUGUUUCUAUCUGUCUCUGUCCUACUGGUUCUGUUUCUUUGGAGAACCUGACAGCAUGCUUUAAAGUGUUACUUAUACACACAGGUAAGAGUGAAGAAUGAGAUUGUUACUAUUGUUCUGAGCAAAAGCCAACCACCUUGGGACCAAAAGUGGGAGGCAUAUUCCUAGGAAAUGUUGGGCCUAGCCUUUGCCCUAAAAAGGCAAGCCCUGUCUGUUUUCAGCCUGAAGAGGAGAGGGGGAAUCCUGGUGAGAAGCAUUUGGAAUUCAAGCUCAGAGAAGAAGACACGGAGUCCCAGCUGAGAACUCAAACUGGUAGAAGGAAGAUUAUUUUUCCUUCUCUAUAGGUGCUUGGAGGUAACGAGGGGAAAGGAGUUGAAAGGAAGGUGACAUUUCAGGUAUUGAUGGGACAGCACGUGCGAGGCCUAGAGGACUGAAAGUUCUUGAUGGGAUCUGUCAGAAGAAAACAGCUGCGUGUACAGGGGAGAAGUGGGAGGGGCGGGUCGGCUAGCGAGCUGAGACGGAGCUGCGCGUGCGUCGAAGUCGGGGCUGUGGGGGCGGGGUGGGUCCGGGGCGCGCUCACCGGAUCGCCGGCGAGCUACGGCUACCACCCGUCAUCUCUUUUCAGCUAAUCUGCUUCGCGCUACUUUUUUGAGGUGGGCACCUGGGAUGGAGGCAAGGAAUCACGAAGUGGCGUCUCCUCGGAAGGGGCAGCCUGAUGUCUUUAACCACUGAACUGUGGUUUCCAACUGGAUGCGCUUUGGGUUCAGGGCUAAGACACGCGUAGGCGGUGCAGACAGUUCAAUUCGUGGGCGGCUUUUUCUCUCCCCUGCGCGGUUUUGCAGAACUGAGGAUUCACGUUUGCCACGCAGUCUCUAAAUCCUCCUCCCAGCCCUCGCCGGAUUUCUGCAUCGGAAUUGGAUUGGAUCACACACAAAAGAAGAGCCCAGGAACUCGUUCACCACCUUGCACCUUGCCUGUUAGUUCACGGCAUAAUGGUAACAGAGUCUUCAUUAAUGGAAGCAACGUUACUACCGUGAGCCCGGAUAGCUCAGUCGGUAGAGCAUCAGACUUUUAAUCUGAGGGUCCAGGGUUCAAGUCCCUGUUCGGGCGGUAUCUUUUUUUUCCUCAUUAAAAGAGUAAGAACCAAUUUUAGGAUCUUUUGUUUGUUAACACACUGCAAAAGAAGGGAAUAAAGUCCUGGAUUGUGUAAACUGCGACCCCAAACACUUCUCGGAGGGUAAGCCCUCU
rnacentral:tRNA from 1 species